CAUAUAUUCCCUCAAAUUAAACAUUUGCAGGGAAGACAGGAUCUUUUCUAAAAUAAACUUGGUAAAUAAAAACACACCACUUAAAAGGGGUGUUUUUCAUUUCAACAAUAGGUGGCAGCACAGAGUUAAGAUUUUCUUCAGGGUCAUAGUAAAAAUAUAAAGCUCAGCAUUCCAGCCUGUGGCAUGCCUGGAGGGUCACUGUUGGGACAGCAGUUUGCUCAGAGAAGAAGUAUGGAGCCCUUAACUCGUACUGAGGUGUUCGGACAGCUCAGAAAGGAGCUAUAUGGAGACAAGGAGUGGAGUUAUUCCAGCGCACACCUAUUUAUCAUCCUGGGAGCAUCUGGAGAUCUCGCUAAAAAGAAAAUCUAUCCAACAUUGUGGUGCUUAUUCAGAGAUGGCCUGCUCCCAGAAGAUAUCCAUAUUGUGGGUUUUGCCCGGUCUAACCUGACCAUGGAGAACAUUAAGGCAGCAUGUCUGCCAUACAUGAAGGUUGCAGAUGAAGAACUUGAUCGUUUAUCAGCCUUCUUCCAAAGGAACUCCUAUCUGAGUGGUCAGUAUGAUGAUGGCAGCUGCUUCCAACAACUCAACAGCCAUCUGUUAUCUCUGCCUGGAGGAGAAAAUGCCAACCGGCUCUUCUACCUGGCACUGCCCCCCACUGUCUACCACCAUGUCAGCACAAACAUCAGAAACCACUGCAUGAGCUGCAAAGGUUGGAACAGGGUGAUCUUUGAGAAGCCAUUCGGUCGUGACCUGCAGAGCUCCCAGGAGCUAUCAGCCCACCUGUCUUCCCUGUUCAAAGAAGACCAGAUCUACCGCAUAGAUCACUACCUGGGAAAAGAGAUGGUCCAAAACCUCAUGGUUCUCAGGUUUGGAAAUCGCAUUUUUGGACCCAUAUGGAACAGGAACAGUGUGGCCUGCGUCGUUCUCACUUUCAAGGAUCCUUAUGGAACUCAGGGCCGAGGAGGAUAUUUUAAUGACUUUGGGAUAAUUAGAGAUGUCAUGCAGAAUCACCUGCUUCAGAUGCUCUGUUUGAUUGCCAUGGAAAAACCUGCAUCCAUCAGCCCAGACGAUGUGAGGAAUGAGAAGGUGAAGGUACUGAAACGCAUAGCUGCUCCUGAUGUGUCAGAUGUGGUGCUUGGUCAGUAUGUUGGAGAUCCAAACGGGGAGGGAGACUCCAAGCUUGGGUAUCUCAAUGAUCCCACAGUACCAGAAGGCUCCAGCACACCAACGUUUGCAACUGCAGUGCUCUAUGUCCGGAAUGAAAGAUGGGAUGGGGUUCCUUUCAUUCUGCGCUGUGGUAAAGCCCUGAAUGAGCGGAAAGCCGAGGUGCGCCUGCAGUUCACAGAUGUCCCGGGAAACAUCUUUGCUGAACGUUGUCAGAGGAAUGAGUUGGUGGUCCGGGUUCAGCCUGACGAGGCUAUUUACCUAAAGAUGAUGACCAAGAGACCUGGAGUUUUCUUCAGCCCAGAAGAGACUGAGCUGGACCUCACUUAUAAGAGCAGAUACAAGAAUGUUAAACUGCCCGAUGCUUAUGAAAGACUGAUUCUGGAUGUCUUCUGUGGAAAUCAGAUGCACUUUGUCCGCAGUGACGAGUUGCGAGAAGCAUGGAGGAUCUUUACACCGCUUCUCCGACAAAUGGAGGAUGUAAAGAAGUAUCCCAUUCCUUACACUUAUGGGAGUCGUGGUCCGAGUGAAUCAGACGAGCUUAUGCAGAGGGUGGGCUUCCGUUACGAAGGAACAUACAAGUGGGUGCAUCCCCACACAAGCUGAUGCUCCACUUUGUGUUAAUUGCAUGCACAGAUUCACUAAAACCUUUUGUAUGUUUACAAAGAAUAAAGUUGUCUGCAGCCAUCUCUGUUCCAGUUAAAUUUUGUCUGCAUGUACUCAUAAAAGCACAGUGUUUUGUCCCCAAUCAAACAUUAGCUAAUGUAGAAGUAACACGAUAUAACAGUAUGAUUUCACGUGCUCUGUGCAUCUGAGAUUUUCCCCUCAGUCGUUUCAACCUUUUGUGUAAAAAUGAAAAAGAAAUGUAUCAGUUUGCACUGAAAUCAGAUCCUAUAAAGCUAAAAGGAGGACAAACUGCAGCUUUAUAAAGUAUCAGGGCUAAAGAAUGUGGAUAAUGUAUUCAUUCUUUAGAACAAGGUAAUUUAAAGCUGCUUCUCUGCUACUGACAAAGCUGUAUUUACAGUAAUCACCAAAAUGCAAUGAUGCAACUUGUGAUUUACGUAAAGCCACACCGCCUAGCUGAUACAGUAUACCAGGAGGACUUGUUGGACUGGUUAGUCUGGGAGAUGGCGCCUCUCCCAAUAACCGUCCACAUGGACAAACAUUUGUCAUUUCUACAAACAACUUGUUGCUGUGUACCCUAACUGGAACUACUGUACAGUACACACCUGCACAGAUCAGAACCUACAGGGAUCUUUCCUGGGAUUCAGAAAGUUGUGGGAAGAACAGUAUCGGUGGACAUGUGUUCAAAUAAGCAAGUCUACUGCGCUUGGUUUACAGUAGUAAAAUUGUAGCUGUUUGGUUAGUUGAUGAGUCAAUGUGUAGUCUAAUAAGAAACUCAUCUAUCUCCUUUAUGAUCUGAAGCUGUUGCUGUUUUGAUUCACACUAAUAAAGAAAUGUUAAAAUACAUGUUUUUAUUUCAUAUAUCUUGCAGCCUCAGUCAACAUGCCUAAAUUCUCUUAAAGAAGACAAAAACCAUAACAGACUAGAAGCAGCAAACAUGACGUGCACAGUAACGGAUACACUUUUUUAAAGGAACAUGUAUAAGGUUUUAGAUAUAAAUAGUCCUUUUCUAAAUAUUACAGUGAAAAAGUAGAAAUUAAAGUGCCUGAAAUAUGAGGAAAGGUUGCACUUUACAAUAACAAUCAUAAUCAUAAUAAAUGUUAAAGAGACAAUUUAUUAAUGGUUAAUAU